rnacentral:rRNA from 1 species
UACGUAGGGCGCAAGCGUUGUCCGGAUUUAUUGGGCGUAAAGAGCUCGUAGGCGGUUUGUUGCGUCGGCUGUGAAAUCCCGAGGCUCAACCUCGGGUCUGCAGUCGAUACGAGCAAACUAGAGUGUUGCAGGGGAGACUGGAAUUCCUGGUGUAGCGGUGAAAUGCGCAGAUAUCAGGAAGAACACCCGUGGCUAAGGCGGUUCUCUAGUACGGUACUGACGCUGAGACGCGAAAGCGUGGGGAGCGAACAGG